rnacentral:lncRNA from 1 species
AAAUAUUAAAUCACUUUAUCACACAAUCUGAAUAUUUAGCUAGAUCAAUAUUUGUAUAAGUAAAAUUAUAAAAUCUAACUCGAAGUUAUUAAGCUAAAUGAUGAAAAGUUAAAUCGUAAACUUUAUCCCAGUCAGGAUCAGUAUCAUCAAAAACUAAUUUGUUGCGAGUAAUUCUGUCACGACCCGAAACCUGGAUCCAUGACCGGAACAUAGACAAGGUUCCCCUCCAAGGUUCCAUACUUAUGCGAACCCAAACUUACAUACAAACUUCUCCUAACUCAAUCAGAGUUCAACGCAAUAUUUAUAACAAAAUUAACUUCAUAAUAUAAUUGAAUUGUCUUAAUACAGGAGUUCAUACAAUUUCAUAGUUUUGGAGCACUAACUAGACAAAAAGGAAGGUACAAAUUACAACCAAAAGAGCAGGUUCUGAAGGUCCAACAAAAGUGACAUGCUAUCAAGCUAUAAGCCUGAAAAGAUAAAUAAUGAGAGGGUGAGUUCAACAACCCAGUGAGUAGAUAACAUUCAAUAUACACACACGAGGUAAUACAACAAUGAGAAAUAUAUAUACAAUUAUGGCUCUAUGUUCUUAUAGGAAGGUUUCUCAAAUAGGCCAUAACAAGAAUAUCAGAAGGUAAAGCUCGUCAGAAAAUCAAAAUGCAAUGAACAUGAGGCUCCGUACUGUGGGAUGAUCAGUCCACACAGGUUGGUGACUCCCCCGACCAACUAGGGUUCAGAUACGAUGUGCACAAAGACUAACAUUACCCUGUUAGCAUGGGUAUUCUGACUGACAUAUCAUAGGUUCAUAAUUAUAAUCAAACAAAUAUAUUCAUAUCUCAAGGCUCAACUCAUGACAUCAAUCAAAUGAGGAGCUAUCAAUUCAGAAUUCAAUUCAAAAUAUAUACUGGUUCAUAUCAAGAAUUCAGAUUCAACAAUUGAUCAUGCUUUGUCAUAACAAGGAUAAUAAUCAACAUAUAUAUUAUCAAGAAGCAUGAUCCAAUUCAUAUUAACAAAUCAAAUAUUUAUAAUAUUUCUCAUGCAUAUGGAAAAUUAUCCACUCACCUGACUCAAAGCAAACAACACUCAAAAGCAGAUUUCGAAAGAAAUCCUACUGAUGACCCGCCGGUAGAAUAUCAGGAUUAUCUGAAUACAAAGGAAAUAUAUUCAAGAACGAAUCAAAAGAACAUAUAACCUAUUUAAUACACUUAUCUAAGGGUAUAUUCCAUAACCCUAUAUGUUUUUGAACUAACUAGUCAAUUUUCUCAAAAACCCAAAAUUUAACGGUUUUCCUGAAAUCUAAUCCAUAAUAAAAAUAAUAAUAUAAACCUCAAUUAUUCAUCAAACCAAACUGCACAAGCUAAUAUUACAGCUAGGGACUAAUCUUGAAUUUAUCAUAUUUUUAAGGGUCAAAUUGUAACUUUUGUCAAAUUGAAGGACCAAACUAAAAAUAUCAUAAAUCCAUUACUAUACUGAAAUUCUGACCAUAAUUAAUCCUCAUUUCUGUCCAGAAUAUCUCAUUAUACUCCAGGGACCAUUCUGGAAUUUUACCAAAUUUUUAGGGUCAAAUUGUAAUUUUUGUCAAAUUGGAGGACCAAAUUGAAAGUGUUAAAAUUCUCUUAUCUAUACAGUAAUUCUGUCCAUAAUUCAUAUGUUAUUCUGUUCAGAAUCUCGGAAUAUGCUCCAGGGACCAAUUUGUAAUUUUCCAAAGUUUGGGGGACUAAACUGUAAUUUUUGCAAAUUGAGGGACCAAAUUGAAUUUUCAUCAUCUUCAACCUCAAACCCAGAAUUUUCACAGAUUACCUACUGUUAUCCCCUGAUUUCUAGCACAAAUUCACCAUUCAAACAAAACCAUAACUCAAAAUCAUCAUUUUUAUCUACAAUCUCUCAAAUUCAACUUAACAAUCUAUUACCCACAAUAAUCAACCAUUUAACAUUCAAAUUAAUCCUUCAAUAAACCCUAAACACAAUUCUCAAAACCCUAACAUUCAUCAAAACUGAAAUUAAAGUUCAAUUAACAUACAUUUAUACAUUUAACAACCUAAAUCUUACCUUUAAACUUAUUUCUUCAAUUCCUUUUUAUUUCCCUUCUAAUUUCCCUCUUUUCUCUUCUUCUUCUUCUUUCCCCUUUCUCUCCUGCCGAUUAUCUCUUAA